rnacentral:rRNA from 1 species
CCUACGGGUGGCAGCAGUGGGGAAUAUUGGACAAUGGGCGAAAGCCUGAUCCAGCCAUGCCGCGUGUGUGAAGAAGGCCUUCGGGUUGUAAAGCACUUUCAGUGGGGAAGAAAGCCUUGGGGCUAAUACCCUCGAGGAAGGACAUCACCCACAGAAGAAGCACCGGCUAACUCCGUGCCAGCAGCCGCGGUAAUACGGAGGGUGCGAGCGUUAAUCGGAAUUACUGGGCGUAAAGCGCGCGUAGGCGGUCUGAUAAGCCGGUUGUGAAAGCCCCGGGCUCAACCUGGGAACGGCAUCCGGAACUGUCAGGCUAGAGUGCAGGAGAGGGAGGUAGAAUUCCCGGUGUAGCGGUGAAAUGCGUAGAGAUCGGGAGGAAUACCAGUGGCGAAGGCGGCCUUCUGGACUGACACUGACGCUGAGGUGCGAAAGCGUGGGUAGCAAACAGGAUUACAUACCCCGGUAGUC